UCCUCAUCGCUUCUUACCUGGAUGACUGCAAUAACCUCCUUUUCCCCUCCAUCCAUUGUUUAUGCUGAGACCAAAGUAAUUUGGAUGAAGAUCUUCUACCAAGUAAAUAUUUUGAAAUAGACUUUCCAAUGAUCGUCACGAGAAAGCUGCAUAGCAUCAAAUUGAAACCUCUUCUUUCAAAACCCAUUUUAGACUUACAUUCAGAGGACACACUUCAAAUGGACGGGCACACAUUGGAUUCAACGAGAUAUGCCAUCAUUGGAGCCGAUCUCCGAGAUAUUCCUGAACUGGAAGAGAAACUAAAGAAAUGUAACAUGAAUACACAGU
rnacentral:lncRNA from 1 species